UUCUCAUACAUUACAUCCCUGAAUGAACCUGAUCUAGUCUGAUCUCAGAAAGUAAGGAGAGGCAGGUCUGGUUAAAGCUUGGAUGGGAGACUAUAGUCUUUCUAAGAUGUUUGAACAA
ensembl:rRNA predicted gene, 25488